GAUUAGCUCAGCGGGAGAGCGCUUCCCUGACACGGAAGAGGUCACUGGUUCAAUCCCAGUAUCGCGCACCACAGU
rnacentral:tRNA from 1 species